rnacentral:rRNA from 1 species
UACGUAGGUGGCAAGCGUUGUCCGGAUUUACUGGGCGUAAAGGGCGUGCAGGCGGUUUGUUAAGUCUAGGGUGAAAGCUCCCGGCUCAACUGGGAGAGGUCCUUGGAUACUGGCGAACUUGAGGGAUGCAGAGGAAAGUGGAAUUCCCGGUGUAGUGGUGAUAUGCGUAGAUAUCGGGAGGAACACCGGUGGCGAAGGCGGGUCUCUGGGAAGUAACUGACGCUGAGAAGCGAAAGCGUGGGGAGCGAACAGG